AGCAGCCGCGGUAAUUCCAGCUCCAAUAGCGUAUAUUAAAGUUGUUGCAGUUAAAAAGCUCGUAGUUGAAUUUCGGGAUCAGUAUGUUGGUCGUGCUUCGGUACGUACUGUCAUUACUGGUUUCUACCUUCUGAAGAACCUUGGUGUCAUUAAUUUGGUGUCUUGGGGAAUCAGGACUGUUACUUUGAAAAAAUUAGAGUGUUUAAAGCAAGCAUACGCUUGAAUACAUUAGCAUGGAAUAAUGAAAUAGGACGUUUGAUUCUAUUUUGUUGGUUUCUAGGAUCGACGUAAUGAUUAAUAGGGAUAGUUGGGGGGCAUUAGUAUUCAAUUGUCAGAGGUGAAAUUCUUGGAUUUAUUGAAGACUAACUACUGCGAAAGCAUUUGCCAAGGAUGUUUUCAUUAAUCAAGAACGAAAGUUAGGGGAUCGAAGACGAUCAGAUACCGUCGUAGUCUUAACCAUAAACUAUGCCGACUAGGGAUCGGAUGAUGUUAUUUUUUAAUGACUCAUUCGGCGCCUUAC
rnacentral:misc_RNA from 1 species